rnacentral:rRNA from 1 species
CCUACGGGUGGCAGCAGUGGGGAAUAUUGCACAAUGGGCGGAACCCUGAUGCAGCGACGCCGCGUGGGUGAAGAAUUGCUUCGGCAUGUAAAGCCCUAUCUGCAGGGAAGUAACAAGACGGUACCUGACUAAGAAGCCCCGGCUAACUACGUGCCGGCAGCCGCGGUAAUACGUAGGGGGCGAGCGUUAUCCGGAUUCACUGGGUGUAAAGGGAGCGUAGACGGGCAUUCAAGCCAGGGGUGAAAGGCUGCGGCUCAACCCCGGGAGUGCAAUUGAUACUGGGCGGCUAGAGUGCGGGAGGGGUAGGCGGAAUUCGUGGUGUAGCGGUGAAAUGCGUAGAUAUCAGGAAGAACACCGAUGGCGAAGGCGGCUUGCUGGACCGCGACUGACAUUGAGGCUCGAAAGCGUGGGGAGCGAACAGGAUUAGAUACCCGUGUAGUC